rnacentral:rRNA from 1 species
CCCUGCCAUUUGUACACACCGCCCGUCGCUCCUACCGAUUUCGAGUGGUCCGCUGAACCGUUUGGACCGAGGCCGGAUUUUCGGUCUUGGAAAGUCCAGUAAAGCACAUCACUUAGAGGAAGGAGAAG